rnacentral:lncRNA from 1 species
UAUGGAACGCCGGAACUGUCUUAUAGUGUAAAUAUUUGAUGUGUUUUGUCGCUUUGCCUUUACGUCCUGUCAUUUCUUCUUUAUGUUAUGUGCAGAUGCCUUUAUUUCCUGACACGGCAUCUCUGUGUUAUGUCAAAUUAGUAAUUUGUUUGGUCAAACAAUUGUAUGAUAUGUCAUUGCUAAACUUUGUUGUGUAAAAUAUGCAUUACAUCAUGCUGUAACUACUAUAUAUUCUGUGAAUACUUCGAAACUUUAUGAUCAACCACC